GCAGCAGCAGCAGCAGCAGGCGGCUCCCCCCCAAGCCCAGCCCCAGUCCCAGCCCCAGUUCCAGCGCCAGGGGCUUCAGCAGACGCAGCAGCAGCAACAGACGGCAGCUUUGGUCCGGCAGCUCCAACAGCAGCUCUCCAAUACUCAGCCACAGCCCAGCACCAACAUAUUUGGACGCUACUGAGCCACCUGGAAGAACCUGGAAGAACCGCUUGUGCACUGGAUGUGGCCCCACCCUUUCCUCUUGAUCCCCGGUCCCCUUCCCGGGCUAGCACCAGUAGUGGUUGGGGCUCUUCCCUCAGGCUCCGUUUUUAAUAAGUUUUUAGUAUUUUUGUUAAUGUGAGGCAUUGAGCUGUUGGGUUUUGUAUAUUAUUUAUAUAGAGACCCCAGAGCUGUUGCACCCAAUACACAGAGCUUCUUUGCAAA